GACGAGCAUCACAAACGUUAUUCGGAAUUACUGGGCGUAAAGGGCGCGUAGGCGGCCUGCUAAGUCGAACGUGAAAUCCCUGGGCUCAACCCAGGAACUGCGUCCGAUACUGGUUGGCUUGAAUCCGGGAGAGGGAUGUGGAAUUCCAGGUGUAGCGGUGGAAUGCGUAGAGAUCCGGAGGAAUACCAGAGGCGAAGGCGGCCAACUGGGCUUGUUCUGACGCUGAGGUGCGAAAGCGUGGGGAGCGAACAGG
rnacentral:rRNA from 1 species